UACGGAGGAUCCAAGCGUUAUCCGGAUUUAUUGGGUUUAAAGGGUGCGUAGGCGGCCUGUUAAGUCAGGGGUGAAAGACGGUAGCUCAACUAUCGCAGUGCCCUUGAUACUGAUGGGCUUGAAUGGACUAGAGGUAGGCGGGAUGAGACAAGUAGCGGUGAAAUGCAUAGAUAUGUCUCAGAACACCGAUUGCGAAGGCAGCUUACUAUGGUCUUAUUGACGCUGAGGCACGAAAGCGUGGGGAUCAAACAGG
rnacentral:rRNA from 1 species